CUUGACUAUAUAAGAGGUCCAGCCUGCCCAGUGACUCAGUUCAACGGCCGCGGUAUCCUAACCGUGCGAAGGUAGCGUAAUCACUUGUCUUCUAAAUAAAGACUAGUAUGAAAGGCACCACGAGAACUAAACUGUCUCCUUUUUCCAAUCAGUGAACCUAAUCUCCCCGUGAAAAAGCGGGGAUUUAACAAUAAGACGAGAAGACCCUAUGGAGCUUCAAACAUAUAACACUGCCCUGAUACACCAUAAUAUUCCCACGCACAAUGAUUACGAGUUUUUAGUUGGGGUGACUACGGAGUAAACCCACCCUCCGCGAUGAAUCAAACAAGCAACAGCUUUAUACAUCAGCAAACUGACACCAUUGACCCAAUUUAUUGAUCAACGAAC
rnacentral:rRNA from 1 species